GAGUUUGAUCGUGGCUCAGAUUGAACGCUGGCGGAAUGCUUUACACAUGCAAGUCGAGCGGCAGCGCGGGGCAACCUGGCGGCGAGCGGCGAACGGGUGAGUAAUGCAUCGGAACAUGUCCAUGUCGUGGGGGAUAGCCCGGCGAAAGCCGGAUUAAUACCGCAUAUGCCCGAGAGGGGAAAGUGGGGGACCGCAAGGCCUCACGCGAUUGGGUUGGCCGAUGUCCGAUUAGCUAGUUGGCGGGGUAAGAGCCCACCAAGGCGAUGAUCGGUAGCUGGUCUGAGAGGAUGAUCAGCCACACUGGGACUGAGACACGGCCCAGACUCCUACGGGAGGCAGCAGUGGGGAAUUUUGGACAAUGGGGGAAACCCUGAUCCAGCCAUUCCGCGUGAGUGAAGAAGGCC
rnacentral:rRNA from 1 species